CCAGGUCAGCUCUGCUCCCAUCAUGCACCAGGUCAGCUCUGCUCCCAUCAUGCACCAGGUCAGCUCCAUUCCCGUCAUGCACCAGCCUACAGAUGUUAAAGAUUCUAUCUUGUGAGCAUUGAAAAGUACCCAAAGGGAAUACCAGCCUGGGAUGUGCCCCUGCGUCACCAUAAAAGCACACUGAGACUGGUGAUACUGAAGACGGCAGGGGCGGUGUCAACAACGAGCCCCAGCAAUUGUAGCUCCCAUCUACACGGCAGCACGAACCUGGCUUCUCACUUCCAGCCAAGUCCUGAUAACAGGGAGGUUGCAGACCUAGGGAGUGAGCUUUCUAGCAUAGACUGAUCAUGACACCCCUCGCUGGGCCUCCCAGAGUCUUCAAGAUUAACUCCAACACAGUGACACAAAGAGAUUCCCUUUAAGAUCUGACAGAUGCUGCAUUUCCAGCUCACUGUCCAGAACAUCCACUAAAGCCUCAGGUGUAGCCAGGCAGCAGGACUGACCUCGGGACAGUCUGGACUUAAACUGCCAUGACUUCUUCUCUGUGUCAGCCUGUCCAAACACUAUACUCUCUCAAGAGGCACUCCCUGGCUCUCCCAGGAUCUCUCUGUAUAACCCUGACUGGAACUCAGUAUGCAGACCUGCAGACCAAGCUAGCCUCAAACUCACAGAGAGAUCUAGCCUUGAACUCAAAGAUAUCUGCCUGUUUCUGCCUUCCUGGGAUUAAAAAUAUAUGCUACCGUGCCCAGCAA